AUUGAACGCUGGCGGCAUGCUUUACACAUGCAAGUCGAACGGUAACAGGCCGCAAGGUGCUGACGAGUGGCGAACGGGUGAGUAAUGCAUCGGAACGUGCCCAGUCGUGGGGGAUAACGCAGCGAAAGCUGCGCUAAUACCGCAUACGAUCUGUUGAUGAAAGCGGGGGACCGUAAGGCCUCGCGCGCUUGGAGCGGCCGAUGUCAGAUUAGGUAGUGGGUGGGGUAAAGGCUCACCAAGCCGACGAUCUGUAGCUGGUCUGAGAGGACGACCAGCCACACUGGGACUGAGACACGGCCCAGACUCCUACGGGAGGCAGCAGUGGGGAAUUUUGGACAAUGGGCGCAAGCCUGAUCCAGCAAUGCCGCGUGCAGGAAGAAGGCCUUCGGGUUGUAAACUGCUUUUGUACGGAACGAAAAGGCUCUGGUUAAUACCUGGAGCUCAUGACGGUACCGUAAGAAUAAGCACCGGCUAACUACGUGCCAGCCGCCGCCGUAAGAC
rnacentral:rRNA from 1 species